ACCGUACCUACAUAUUAUAAAUUGGACAGAACCCUGAAAAGAGAGAGGCCAAGACAUUUUUUCAGCGGCAACAAUCUUUCUUCAUUUUUUUUCUAGACAUAAUAAUCAUCCUAGAACACACAACAUGAAAGCACCGUAGAACCACCCCAAAACCCCAUUAAAAUACAGCCAGGAACACCAUUAUAAAAUUACACAAGCUCACCACCAUUUUUUACACAACCCAAAACCAUCGUCUUUUUCGUUGUUUGUUUGAGCUUGAAAACGUCAAAUGGUAUGUUCGUGUUUUAAAGGUCUUGGUUCGAUUGAAUUUUCGGUGAGUUGAGGUCUCGGUUCGUAGCUCCGGUCUUGAAAGCUAAGGUGCAUUGACUCAUGAAGAGAAUUGGGAUCAAACCAAGUGAAAACGAGCCAAAAAGGAGCUAAAACGAAGAAAAAAAAAUUCUAGCAGAAAUACCCUUCGCGAACGCGAAGGUUGACCGCGUUCACGAUGGUCAACUGGUCAAGUGACCUUCGCGUUAGUGCGAACGCGAAGAAGACUUUUUGGGCAGGACUGGGCAGUUUUGGAAAUUCACGUUUUUGUUAUCCCAAACCACAUAAAACUCGACCAAACCUCUUGGAAACAUAUCUUUGGUAGAAAACACAAGUUCUGGAGGCUAGGGUUCCUACACCACACUUUGAGGUUGAAGAUUUGAAGAUUGGGUCUGGAAAGGUGUAGGAUCGAGGAAAUGGAAUCAUGGACAAAAUGAUGGAAUUUUUGUCCAAUUUGAAUCUCCGGCUUCAAUGCGGAGGUUGUGGUUUAUCCCUUGCUCAACUAAGAAAAGCAAAACCUUAUGCAGGGAUCCAGUGCCUUUGGAUAUUAGCGCACAUGAAAUUCUUCCUCGUGUAUUCAAGCAAGUAUAGUUAAGAUAAUUGCAGUUCCGUAUCUUGGGUCAGCUCUUUGGAGGAUCAAGUCGGGGAGAAAAUGGGCCUAUUAUCUAUGAGUAAAAGCAAGGACGGUACAUUACAUCUUUGCUUUGGUCCAAUUUAAUUUCCUUGCACUGGGGUCCGGAGUUAUCUUAUAUUAGCGAGGGUUAUCUGAGCUGUCAAGAUAUCAAAAUCUUUUGAAGUUUUCUUAUACUCUGUUUCAAUUUGUUUGAACCUAUUUCCUUUUUAGUCCGUGCCAAAAUAAAUGACAUCUUUCCUAAUUUGGAAACAAAUUCACUUUAUGAAUGAUUUACAGCCACACAAAUUUUCAAGGCUUAUUUUGAACCACAUGUUUCAAAAGUCUUCUCUCUUUCUUAAAUGUCGUGCCCAGUCAAAUAGGUUCAUAUAAAUUGAAACGGAGGAAGUAGUAGAUUAGAAUUUCCUAUGUUGCGUGGUUCGUGUAUUUUCAUUUCACUUUCACUAUGCUGUUGGCUGUUUGAUGCGGGCAGUGAGUUUUGAUUGAUGCUCUUAAAACUUAAAAGUCAUUUUUUCAAUCGUUUUGGAAAUGGGACAGUUGUAAAUUUGCCUGAUGCCAUUGUUACCUGAAUUUGGUUUCUGUCUCUCUGAAAGUACAUUAGAUCAGUUUUUCACAAUGUUCA